GAAAAAAGGCAAUAAAGGCCAAAAUUAUCAAAUUCUAGUUAGACCCUAGGGGCAUAUUUGAGCUAUUACCAUCUUUUGCAACCAAGUCCAAAGCUCCAUUACAACCUGCUAAGUCCUCCUAGGCUAGAUACGGUGAAGUUUUCUUCGACAGCUUCGAGCUCACCC